rnacentral:lncRNA from 1 species
UAUCUUUUGUGGUAUUUCUGGAUCCUUUCCAAGGCAGUAAUGGUGUAUGCAUUCUCUCAAAGUACGUGGUAUUUGUGGUAUGAGACAUAGUGAUAUCGCCUUCUCUCUCACCCUACACUAAUAAGGUUUUGAUAUUUGGAGCUCAUAGGUGGGAGACAGAUAAUACAUACUUAUAAGAUAUUUAUUGCAUAGUCAAACCAUGGAUCCAGAGAAACAAGUCAAUAAGUCAAAUCAAGAUGUGCAUGUGUGGUGAAUGAAUGGUGUAUGGUGAUGAUGGUGAUAAUAAUGGUGAAAGUCUAAUUCUACUUUUGCUCUUUUUAGGGGAUACAUACCUUUCUUGCACUUUGAAGCUUUUUGAGGAGAAUGAGAGGCUCUAUAUUUUCUUUUUCUUUCCUCUCAGGUGGGUAUCUUGUACCCCUAAUUCACUGUCGGACACUUGUCCAUUUUUACCUCUCUUCUCACUUUUUCUUUUCUUCGAGGUUCCGGGCACUUGCCCCUUUAUAUUUCCUCGUAUCCUUUCUCUCUUUUUUUUUCUUCUUUUUUUUAGAGCACUCAUCUCCUGAAAUAAUAUAGCAAGUGGUAGUAACCAAGAUAACUCGAGCAUUUAUUUCACAGGGAAAACAGAAAUAGGAGAAUGUUUUGGCUAUUCUCUCUCGGAUUAGGAGUAGAAUACUUUUGGGUGGCUCUGGAGAUGGAAGUGAGUGGAUAUAUGUGGAUGCGUACUUCCGGAGUAGAAGCAACAUGUGUGAGUGAAUGUGCAAGUGAAUCUUGAUUUUAACCGCAUGACAAGCUCCUAAGGAUCUACACAGCUUGACCACACUCAAUGCUCAUAAGCAGUGAAAAGUAAAUGUGUGGCUCAAAGUCUAGCAAGCAUGUAUAUAUGGCUGUGGUAGGAAUUUAAACUCUCAUCAUAUAAGAACUCAUCAUGUGUUAUUUUAAAGAUUUUCAAAGGUAAAAUUCCCCAGAAUUCUAGCAUCUCUAGGAACAGAUAAACAACAGCUCAACCUUCCCAUAUCAUAUCCGUUAACAACUUACACUUUAGAUCAAGUACUCUUCCCACAAGUUCAGGUUUAGAGCAGGUUUAAAUUAUAACAGUUAUGCCUAAACUUGAGAGAGAUUUCAAUUUUAAGAACUAGUCAUGGCAGAGCAACUAUUCAUCAUUUCCAUGUGAGAGCUUAUCAUAAGGGUUCAUAGCAAACUUUAUUUAUUUAGCAAACUAAGCAAAGAUAUAUAUAAGCACAAAAUUUUUAUUUGGGUUUUCAUGAUUUUACAUCUUUUUAUUAUUUGAGUAAAGUAUAAACGCGAGUAGAAACACUUAGCUAGAUAAAUGGGCCGGGGGUGCUCUCCCCAAAGCUGGAUUUUGACGUAAUUUCUUCUGAUAUAGCUAGCAGGUGGCGGAGGUGUAUUUAAAUAUCGGCAGCACCCUAACAGCAAUUAGGAUGUCCUCCGUUUUCUAGCCUUCUUUGAUCCUUGAAUUCUGUGGAGCUCAAAUAGACAACAAAGCUUUGUGGAACUGGUUAAGUGUUAGCAUAAAUAUCUAGCCUUUGUCAUGUUGAGCCUCCUCAAUAAAUGUUAUUUAUUUAGCAAGAUCAUGCACUUAUUAUUUUUAUAUUUUUAUUGUAAGAUGAAAACAUAUUUAUUUUAUGCCACCACAGUGAAUGUACCUAUGGGUUUUAUGCCAUGAGUAUACUCACAUGGGGCUUACUAUUUUUAACAUUUUUAUUUUCUUUUCGAGAUGAUACGAACCUGAUUAACUAAGCAAACUAUUUUAAAUAGUUGAAAGGAAAAAGGAUAACUACCAUGUUUACCUCUUGGCAAGGCGUUCGGUGUUUUUAAGUCCUCCGAACGGGACUCUUCGUUUUCUCAGUCGUCUUGGGAUUCGCUGGAUGGCGUAGUCGGUGGUUCCGGCGGCGCCUCCUCUUCGUGUAUAAUUAUCUUCUCUCUCCACACCUGACUCGGUGCUACGGUCUCCUCAGGACAGUUCUGUGCAAGCUGUAUGUCUUCAGACUUUACCACUUCUCCUUCGUAGUCUACCCAUCCAUCCUUGAUGAUUUGCCUCCUCUGGUUUCAGUUGCGUUGCCUAGAGGGAAGUGCAUGUGGACUUCUCCGGUUCUAAUAUAGAUGAUGGCUUUGAUAGUGUUGAGGAACAGUCUUCCAAGGAUGGUGGGUGGAUCAUACUCAUCUUCUCCCAUGUCAAUGACCUGAAAAUCAUUUGGAGCUGAAUGUAUAUUGGUUGUAGGGGCAUGGUUCCAUGUAGGAGCUGAUAAGUGACUGCGGCCAUUAUGUUGUCGUCAGAUCCGGUGUCGUAGAGUGUCUUCCGAAAAGAGUAUCUAUUGAUUGUGCACUCGAUGCUUGGAACACCAGGGUCGUCCUUCUUGAUCAGGAAAGGCGACUUGAGUCGACGAUCUUGACCUCCUCCAACAAGGAUCCAAUGUUUUAAGUCUUCUGGACAAGACUUCUCACCGUCUUCAUCCUUUAGGUGCAUCAUUUGAUUGGGUGUGGACCUUGACGUUUGCACCUCUUGAUACGGAGUCACCCAUGUUCUUUGUUUGCGCAGCAAUUCGAAGUGCGGUGUUGGCAAUAUCCUGCUCAGUGUGUUUGUGCUCGUAGAUCCAGGUCCUUCACUUGGUGGAGUCUGGGAGUUGUAAAACUCCUCCAUGUUUUGCUUGAAGUGUACCUGUUCAUAGAGACAAGGCAGAGAUCAAGUGCAUGGGCCCUGUUGGUGGAAAACACCAAUAGAACCAAAGGCGUAUUUGUUCUUCUCUAACCUUAAGCAUGGUGUGCAAGACAAAGUUGAUGGAUAAUAAGAUCAUGAGUGUAGCAUUUAAAACAUUUGUCAAAUCAUAUUGCUCGACCUAAUGGAAAGAUAAUCUAUCUAUAUUUAUAUCUUCCAAAGAUUGAAUGUGCAACAUUUUAGCUUAUAUGAUUAGGAGUGUAGGAUCAUGGAGGUAGUACUAGGAACAAAGAUUAAAGGACUAAACAUGCUGAAUCAGUUGGGUUGGUUAAUUUGGAGUUAUAAAUCAUACAUGUUUGUCUCUUUAUUUAUGUGAACGCCAGAACCAAGGAGAAGCUUGUAAAAGUGAUAGUCAAGUACCUUAAGGUGUUACCUUACUUGAAGAGUGAUGGUAUAGUAUCACCUUGUGGAAGCUUUCCUUUCUUAGCGGUUGUGCAUCGUGUUUGUGGCACCCUCCAUGGAUCAUCUCUCUAUGAUGAAUGAGCUAUGCCUUCCUUGUGCAAAUCGUUAAACUUCAUGUGUCUCCUUUAUCUCCAAUGAGUUUGUAUCUCAGGACUUCCCAGCUUGAUAUUGAAAGUUUUCCUGUAGGGGUUAGUCCAACAAAAUAUCCCAUAUCUACUAUAGCAUAUUAUCGGCUCAAAAAUCAACCUAGACACCAUGUCUAAUUUGAUUUAGGAGGGCAUUUUAACCUAAGAACUAUGCUUAAUUUAAAAAUCCUUUAGAAGUAAGAUCAUCAUUCCUAACCUAAGCACCAUGCUUAAUUAAGAGAUAAAUGAAACUACUCCAAGGGUGGGCGCCCUGCCCCUGGGCCCAAUCGCCUUCUCAUUCGUUCCUGUGGCUUCUGGAGUCUUCUAGAUGAUAGAAAAUUGCACGUCACGUUAAUAUCUCUAUGUAAACCCGACGUGUGGGCCUUUCUUCCAUAUUUCCUGAUAACCCCCUACAGAAAUAGACAAAAACCAAAACUCGUGGAAUUCUAUCAGAUAAAACCCUAAGUCUGGGUGUUGGUUGCAUUUGGAUCCUUUUCUUUAUUUAUUUGAUGAUUAUAUUUGGUACUUAUGGACCAUCAACAAACUCCCCCAAGAUUACCUCUUGCUCGUCCCUGAGCAAGGAUAGACUCAAAAGUUUCUGCAGAGGUUUCAUGCCUUAAAAGUACACAUGCGUUCAAGCAAGAUCUCAUCUCUGAGUUUAGAGUAAACUGUAAAGACUUAAAACUUACUCAAUUUAGUUUUCACCAUGGGGCUUGCAACCGUCACUUGUGUCUUGAGCAGUUAAAAGAUAGAACAGUCAAGUCAAGAGCCAUGUCUCAUAUUCUUGAUCAGCUAUAGCUCUAGAGUUUUUUUAGAUUUUCAAAUAAAACUCAGAGAUUCCUUGUAUUACUCUCCCAAAUCUAUCUUUUGUGGUAUUUCUGGAUCCUUUCCAAGGCAGUAAUGGUGUAUGCAUUCUCUCAAAGUACGUGGUAUUUGUGGUAUGAGACAUAGUGAUAUCGCCUUCUCUCUCACCCUACACUAAUAAGGUUUUGAUAUUUGGAGCUCAUAGGUGGGAGACAGAUAAUACAUACUUAUAAGAUAUUUAUUGCAUAGUCAAACCAUGGAUCCACAGAAACAAGUCAAUAAGUCAAAUCAAGAUGUGCAUGUGUGGUGAAUGAAUGGUGUAUGGUGAUGAUGGUGAUAAUAAUGGUGAAAGUCUAAUUCUACUUUUGCUCUUUUUAGGGGAUACAUACCUUUCUUGCACUUUGAAGCUUUUUGAGGAGAAUGAGAGGCUCUAUAUUUUCUUUUUCUUUCCUCUCAGGUGGGUAUCUUGUACCCCUAAUUCACUGUCAGACACUUGUCCAUUUUUACCUCUCUUCUCACUUUUUCUUUUCUUCGAGGUUCCGGGCACUUGCCCCUUUUUAUUUCCUCGUAUCCUUUCUCUCUUUUUUUUUCUUCUUUUUUUUUAGAGCACUCAUCUCCUGAAAUAAUAUAGCAAGUGGUAGUAACCAAGAUAACUCGAGCAUUUAUUUCACAGGGAAAACAGAAAUAGGAGAAUGUUUUGGCUAUUCUCUCUCGGAUUAGGAGUAGAAUACUUUUGGGUGGCUCUGGAGAUGGAAGUGAGUGGAUAUAUGUGGAUGCGUACUUCCGGAGUAGAAGCAACAUGUGUGAGUGAAUGUGCAAGUGAAUCUUGAUUUUAACCGCAUGACAAGCUCCUAAGGAUCUACACAGCUUGACCACACUCAAUGCUCAUAAGCAGUGAAAAGUAAAUGUGUGGCUCAAAGUCUAGCAAGCAUGUAUAUAUGGCUGUGGUAGGAAUUUAAACUCUCAUCAUAUAAGAACUCAUCAUGUGUUAUUUUAAAGAUUUUCAAAGGUAAAAUUCCCCAGAAUUCUAGCAUCUCUAGGAACAGAUAAACAACAGCUCAACCUUCCCAUAUCAUAUCCGUUAACAACUUACACUUUAGAUCAAGUACUCUUCCCACAAGUUCAGGUUUAGAGCAGGUUUAAAUUAUAACAGUUAUGCCUAAACUUGAGAGAGAUUUCAAUUUUAAGAACUAGUCAUGGCAGAGCAACUAUUCAUCAUUUCCAUGUGAGAGCUUAUCAUAAGGGUUCAUAGCAAACUUUAUUUAUUUAGCAAACUAAGCAAAGAUAUAUAUAAGCACAAAAUUUUUAUUUGGGUUUUCAUGAUUAUACAUCUUUUUAUUAUUUGAGUAAAGUAUAAACGCGAGUAGAAACACUUAGCUAGAUAAAUGGGCCGGGGGUGCUCUCCCCAAAGCUGGAUUUUGACGUAAUUUCUUCUGAUGUAGCUAGCAGGUGGCGGAGGUGUAUUUAAAUAUCGGCAGCACCCUAACAGCGAUUAGGAUGUCCUCCGUUUUCUAGCCUUCUUUGAUCCUUGAAUUCUGUGGAGCUCAAAUAGACAACAAAGCUUUGUGGAACUGGUUAAGUGUUAGCAUAAAUAUCUAGCCUUUGUCAUGUUGAGCCUCCUCAAUAAAUGUUAUUUAUUUAGCAAGAUGAUGCACUUAUUAUUUUUAUAUUUUUAUUGUAAGAUGAAAACAUAUUUAUUUUAUGCCACCACAGUGAAUGUACCUAUGGGUUUUAUGCCAUGAGUAUACUCACAUGGGGCUUACUAUUUUUAACAUUUUUAUUUUGUUUUCGAGAUGAUACGAACCUGAUUAACUAAGCAAACUAUUUUAAAUAGUUGAAAGGAAAAAGGAUAACUACCAUGUUUACCUCUUGGCAAGGCGUUCGGUGUUUUUAAGUCCUCCGAACGGGACUCUUCGUUUUCUCAGUCGUCUUGGGAUUCGCUGGAUGGCGUAGUCGGUGGUUCCGGCGGCGCCUCCUCUUCGUGUAUAAUUAUCUUCUCUCU